AUUGAACGCUGGCGGCAUGCCUUACACAUGCAAGUCGAACGGUAACAGGUCUUCGGAUGCUGACGAGUGGCGAACGGGUGAGUAAUACAUCGGAACGUGCCUAGUAGUGGGGGAUAACUACUCGAAAGAGUGGCUAAUACCGCAUGAGAUCUACGGAUGAAAGCAGGGGAUCGCAAGACCUUGUGCUACUAGAGCGGCCGAUGGCAGAUUAGGUAGUUGGUGGGAUAAAAGCUUACCAAGCCGACGAUCUGUAGCUGGUCUGAGAGGACGAUCGGCCACACUGGGACUGAGACACGGCCCAGACUCCUACGGGAGGCAGGAGUGGGGAAUUUUGGACGAUGGGCGCAAGCCUGAUCCAGCAAUGCCGCGUGCAGGAUGAAGGCCUUCGGGUUGUAAACUGCUUUUGUACGGAACGAAAAGCCCUGGGUUAAUACCCUGGGGUCAUGACGGUACCGUAAGAAUAAGCACCGGCUAACUACGUGCCAGCCGCCGCGGUAA
rnacentral:rRNA from 1 species